rnacentral:rRNA from 1 species
UACGAAGGGUGCAAGCGUUACUCGGAAUUACUGGGCGUAAAGCGUGCGUAGGUGGUGAGUUAAGUCUGUCGUGAAAGCCCCGGGCUCAACCUGGGAAUGGCGAUGGAUACUGGCUCGCUAGAGUGCGGUAGAGGAGAGUGGAAUUCACGGUGUAGCAGUGAAAUGCGUAGAUAUCGUGAGGAACACCAGAGGCGAAGGCGGUUACCUGGACAGUUACUGACGCUCAGGCACGAAAGCAUGGGGAGCAAAAGGG